UACGAAGGGGGCUAGCGUUGCUCGGAAUCACUGGGCGUAAAGCGCACGUAGGCGGAUUGUUAAGUCAGGGGUGAAAUCCUGGAGCUCAACUCCAGAACUGCCUUUGAUACUGGCGAUCUCGAGUCCGGGAGAGGUGAGUGGAACUGCGAGUGUAGAGGUGAAAUUCGUAGAUAUUCGCAAGAACACCAGUGGCGAAGGCGGCCUCACUGGCCCGGUACUGACGCUGAGGUGCGAAAG
rnacentral:rRNA from 1 species